CUGUUAUUGUUUUUCUGUGUCGGAUUCCCCUUCAGGAGGUUGAAACGAUGAUGGAAAAUCGAGUCUCUGAUGCA
rfam:Triticum aestivum genome assembly, contig: Triticum_aestivum_CS42_TGACv1_scaffold_526803_6DL